AGCACCAGGCCCCAAGCUCCUGAAGCAAGAAGGUGAAUCUGGAGGUUUCAUCUAGACCUAAUUCAUACAGGAAUAAUGCUGAUGAAGUUUUGCAUCCUGUAGGCUCUACUGUCACCAUGGAUUUCCUUCAUCACCUAGUGAAGGGGAACAAUCGUGGGACAUCUCUGAGAGACUAGUGUGGAUUUCAUAGUCCUUGGCACAGAGCAGGCACAUGAUCCAAAUGAAACAUCCAUGUUGGAGUUGGAGACUACUUUGGCAGUGUGGUUUCACUCCCAUUCCACACUUU